rnacentral:rRNA from 1 species
UACGGAGGGUGCGAGCGUUGUCCGGAAUCACUGGGCGUAAAGGGCGCGUAGGUGGCGACGCAAGUCAACGGUGAAAGCUCGACGCUCAACGUCGAGUCGGCCGUCGAGACUGCGUUGCUCGAGCACUGUAGAGGCAGAUGGAAUUCCGGGUGUAGCGGUGGAAUGCGUAGAGAUCCGGAAGAACACCGGUGGCGAAGGCGGCUACACUGGCCCGGUACUGACGCUGAGGCACGAAAGCGUGGGGAGCAAACAGG